UGUAUACAUAAUAAAUAAAUAAAUAUUUAAAAAAAAUUGGAAUGCACAGCAAAGGGGCCUUGUCACCUUUGGGGGAUAUGCUGUGCCCCCCAGAAUGAAUCAGGAGGUUCCAUAGCA